CUUCCUUUGGUGCAUCAGAGACCUUCUUCCCCAAAGGAAGAAAAUCAGAUGGGACUUAUGAGGUGGAGAUUCGACAGAAAACCAACAUUCUCUACUCCUACCACUACUGUUAUGAGGGAUUCUGCCUGAGUGGUGACUGUGGGACUCAGAGACAGCAGUCUGUGGAUGUAGUUACCUCUGGUUCUUAUGGGCUUACCUGGCAACAAUAUGAGACGAAAACAACUAGACAGCUGACGAGCAACCUUCCCUUCGACAUAGGGUGAGAUGAAGAGUUCCUCAAAUAAAACAACCUUACAACA